rnacentral:tRNA from 1 species
UGGGGUGUGGCUCAGUGGCAGAGCGCUUGCCUGGCAUGUGUGAGGCACUGGGUUCAAUUGUCAGCACUGCAU